rnacentral:rRNA from 1 species
CUAUCCCUACGGGGGGCAGCAGUGGGGAAUAUUGGGCAAUGGGCGCAAGCCUGACCCAGCAACGCCGCGUGAAGGAAGAAGGCUUUCGGGUUGUAAACUUCUUUUAAGGGGGAAGAGCAGAAGACGGUACCCCUUGAAUAAGCCACGGCUAACUACGUGCCAGCAGCCGCGGUAAUACGUAGGUGGCGAGCGUUAUCCGGAAUGAUUGGGCGUAAAGGGUGCGUAGGCGGCCUGCUAAGUCUGGAGUGAAAGGUACCGGCUCAACCGGUACAGGCUCUGGAAACUGGCGGGCUAGAGAGCAGGAC